AUACUUACCUGGCAGGGGAGAUACCAUGAUCAUGGUGGUUCACAGGGGCGAGGCUCAGCCAUUGCGCUUCGGUUGUGCUGACCGUGCGAAUUCCCCAAAUGUGGAAUCUGGAGGCCAUAAUUUAUUAGUGGGGGACUGCGUCCGCGCUCUCCCUGA